rnacentral:rRNA from 1 species
GGGAUUGCCCUAGUAACGGCGAGUGAAGCGGCAACAGCUCAAAUUUGAAAUCUGGCUCUCGGGCCCGAGUUGUAAUUUGUAGAGGAUGCUUUUGAUGCGGUGCCUUCCGAGUUCCCUGGAACGGGACGCCAUAGAGGGUGAGAGCCCCGUCUGGUUGGAUGCCAAAUCUCUGUAAAGCUCCUUCGACGAGUCGAGUAGUUUGGGAAUGCUGCUCUAAAUGGGAGGUAUAUGUCUUCUAAAGCUAAAUACCGGCCAGAGACCGAUAGCGCACAAGUAGAGUGAUCGAAAGAUGAAAAGCACUUUGAAAAGAGAGUUAAAAAGUACGUGAAAUUGUUGAAAGGGAAGCGUUUAUGACCAGACUUGGGCUUGGUUAAUCAUCUGGGGUUCUCCCCAGUGCACUUUUCCAGUCCAGGCCAGCAUCAGUUUUCGCCGGGGGAUAAAGGCUUCGGGAAUGUGGCUCUCUCCGGGGAGUGUUAUAGCCCGUUGCGUAAUACCCUGGCGGGGACUGAGGUUCGCGCAUCUGCAAGGAUGCUGGCGUAAUGGUCAUCAACGACCCGUCUUGAACA